rnacentral:rRNA from 1 species
GACGAACGCUGGCGGCGUGCCUAAUACAUGCAAGUCGAACGAGAGCGGCCGGUGCUUGCACUCUUCCAUCUAGUGGCGAACGGGUGAGUAACACGUGGGUAACCCGCUCCUUUGAGGGGGAUAACAUCCGGGGACGGGUGCUAAAACCGCAUAGACCUUCGAACCGCAUGGCUUGGAGAGGAAAAGAGGCGCCCGCUACUGCUAAUGUAUCGCUCCGGGUUGCAUUUGCGAGUUGGGGGGGUAACGGCUCACCAAGGCCGUGCUGCAUAGCGGACCUGUGAGGGGGAUCGGCCACAUUGGAAUUGAGACACGGCCCAAACGCCUACGGGAGGCAGCAGUGGGGAAUCUUCGGCAAUGGACGCAAGUCUGACGGAGCAAGCCCGCGUGGGUGAAGAAGGUUUUCGGAUCUUAAAACUUUGUUGUUGGGGAAGAACAAGUGCUAGAGAAACUGUUGGCGGCUUGACGGUACCUAACCAGAAAGCCACGGCUAACUACGUG